GAUGAAGGACGCAGCGAAAUGCGAUAAGUAAUGUGAAUUGCAGAAUUCAGUGAAUCAUCGAAUCUUUGAACGCACAUUGCGCCCGUCAGUAUUCUGGCGGGCAUGCCUGUUCGAGCGUCAUUACGCCCCUCAAGUCCCCUGUGGACUUGGUGUUGGGGAUCGGCGAGGCUGGUUUUCCAGCACAGCCGUCCCUUAAAUUAAUUGGCGGUCUCGCCGUGGCCCUCCUCUGCGCAGUAGUAAAACACUCGCAACAGGAGCCCGGCGCGGUCCACUGCCGUAAAACCCCCCAACUUUUUAUAGUUGACCUCGAAUCAGGUAGGACUACCCGCUGAACUUAAGCAUAUCAAUAAGCGGAGGA
rnacentral:misc_RNA from 1 species